GACGAACGCUGGCGGCGUGCUUAACACAUGCAAGUCGAGCGAGGCCCUUCCUUCGGGAAGGUGCCCUAGCGGCGAACGGGUGAGUAACACGUGGGCAAUCUGCCCUCAGCUCUGGGAUAACUCCGGGAAACCGGGGCUAAUACUGGAUACAACCACUGGUGACAUCGCCUGGUGGUGGAAAGAUUCAUCGGCUGAGGAUGAGCCCGCGGCCUAUCAGCUUGUUGGUGGGGUAAUGGCCCACCAAGGCAGCGACGGGUAGCCGGCCUGAGAGGGCGAC
rnacentral:rRNA from 1 species